AAAAAAGGGAACCAGGGCCAGAUGUUCGCUCGGAUCGGUCGCGAUCGCGAACGAACGGACACAGAAUAGGUGAAUAAAUUGGAGACGAUUUUCCACGAGCAUUCUCGGGCAAGCUGUCAGGCGAAUUCGGUGUGGUACGCUGCGAGAUGGGAGGGGAGACACCGAGUCGAGCGAUUGAUUCUCCGUAAAUUUCGAAGCUUUGGGGAAUUUUUCAAUUGCCACCGUGAAGUAUUCUCGAAUUUUGCGAAUUUUUGAAUUCUCGAUGUUAGAAUUGCAGACUCGCGUGAUCGGCGAGCUCUCGCCGUCUUUCUUCACCGUCGUUCGCAGUGUAUGGCGACGCCUCGACGCGAAAUCGUCGGGUUAGAAGGUUUCGGUGUGCCUGUUGAGUGAUUCUGCGAUCUUCUUGCCCGCUUUUCUCUUCCACGGCCGCUGUCGAUAGACUUUUUUUUUUUUUAGAGUUGUUGCGGGUCGAAAUAUCGGUUCUCUCAUCUCCGGUCUCGGUCGGACACUUCUGUCGGUCGUUGGAUUGCCAAAAAAGAAAAAAAAAAAAAGAAAGCGGCACUGUGCGCGAGAAAACGAACGAACGAUAGGAAGAGAGCUGGGAAGAGAAAGCUGGAAACGCUGAGCCUAAUUAUAAUAAUUAUUAACACGAACAAGAGUUUCUCGACGACCCCCAAAAAUCGAAUCGAAUUUUCGAGCAAACAGAGGAUAGAAGUGAAACAAAAAAAAAAAAAAAGAAAAAAAAGAAAAAACAAAAAGAAAGAAACGAGAGAGAGAGAAAUAACGAAUAAUUAAUGUAGGAGAGAAAUAAUAUUGACGAUCUUCUUCACCGACUGCGAGAGUUUAGUCGCCAGACAAAGAUGCAUUAGAGAUUAUCCUAAGGGUAGUUGUUAAGUGGACGAAAAAACACAUACACACACACACACACGUGAAUAUAUAGAACAGAAA